AUUGAACGCUGGCGGCAUGCCUUACACAUGCAAGUCGAACGGCAGCACGGGUGCUUGCACCUGGUGGCGAGUGGCGAACGGGUGAGUAAUACAUCGGAACGUACCUUAUCGUGGGGGAUAACGCAGCGAAAGCUGUGCUAAUACCGCAUACGCCCUGAGGGGGAAAGCGGGGGAUCGCAAGACCUCGCGCGAUUAGAGCGGCCGAUGCCUGAUUAGCUAGUUGGUGGGGUAAAAGCCCACCAGGGCGACGAUCAGUAGCUGGUCUGAGAGGACCGUCAGCCAGACUGGGACUGGGACACGGCCCAGACUCCUACGGGAGGCGGCAGUGGGGAAUUUUGGACAAUGGGGGCAACCCUGAUCCAGCAAUGCCGCGUGAGUGAAGAAGGCCGUCGGGUUGUAAAGCUCUUUUGUCAGGGAAGAAACACCGGCUCUAACACAGUCCGGGAAUGACGGUACCUGAAGAAUAAGCACCGGCUAACUACGUGCCAGCCGCCGCGGUAA
rnacentral:rRNA from 1 species